UUGUAGAUUAGCUAGCUAGUUGAUUAUCUAGUUUCUCUACUGAAAAAAGUAUCAAACUUACCUCUUUAUUAUUGUCAGUCAUCGUUCAUCUUUCACCGUCCUCUUUCAUCUGUAUGGUCAAAAUGUCCCCCUGUUCUAAAAUUAUAGUAAGCGGUUGCGAGAGCAAAAUGGGUUUUGGAGAACAGACUGGAAAAUUGGUGUGAGUGGGAUGAAAAUACAUCCGUGUGUGGAAGCGGCAUAUUUGUGACAGUGCAGUCAUUUCUGAGUCUUGACAUGUAGUAAGUAUUUCUUCAGGCAAACAAAAGUCUCUGCUGUCAAAUUCAUUUAAUGCAGUUGCGCUCGCUCAAAGUCACACUUGCAAGUCCUCAAGUUUAAUUUGCGCACACCACGUUGGCCUGCGCUCUCGGAAAACGUCCUAUGCUCGCUCGACCACAUUUUCUCUCGGUAAAAGUGUUUGACUGCGCAAUGAUGUUUCAUCUUGCUUUCUCGCGCGAUGGCGCCCGUUCGACUUUUUUUAAUCGGAUUUGACGCCAUACAGUUGUAGUGGUUUCUCUGUGGUGUAUAUACAUUGGAGUUAUCCAACGUUUGCGUCAAAUUGUAUGCGUAGACUUUCCAGAAAUAGUGACAAAAGUACUGAUGCAAUGACGCUGUCGGUUGCCCGCCAUCCACCACCAACGCCCAUCCUUGCAAGGCGAUCUUGGCAAACUGUUAAGGCACUCAGCUGCCUCUGGUGGAUGAAUUGCCAUGUCGGCUCACAAUGUGUAACUCACUAGGACAGACAUCUACUUUAAUAAAGCAGUUGGUGGCUUCUGUGUUGGUUGAUUAUCUACAUGUAAAAUUUUGCAGCUGGCCCAUUUAGCGGAAAUCACAGCUGGGCAAGAAACGUCAACCUGCCUUACACUCGUCAAAGC
rnacentral:lncRNA from 1 species